rnacentral:rRNA from 1 species
CAGCCGCCGCGGGAAUACGUAGGGUGCGAGCGUUAAUCGGAUUUACUGGGCGUAAAGCGUGCGUAGGCGGCUUUUUAAGUCGGAUGUGAAAUCCCUGAGCUUAACUUAGGAAUUGCAUUCGAUACUGGGAAGCUAGAGUAUGGGAGAGGAUGGUAGAAUUCCAGGUGUAGCGGUGAAAUGCGUAGAGAUCUGGAGGAAUACCGAUGGCGAAGGCAGCCAUCUGGCCUAAUACUGACGCUGAGGUACGAAAGCGUGGGGAGCAAACAGGAUUAGAUACCCCGGUAGUCCCUGUCUCUUAUAC